rnacentral:rRNA from 1 species
CCUACGAGGUGCAGCAGUGAGGAAUAUUGUUCAAUGGACGAGAGUCUGAACCCGCCAAGUAGCGUGAAGGAUGACUUCCCUAUUGGUUGUCAACUUCUUUUAUCUGGGAAUAAAAUAUUCCACGUGUGGGAUUUUGUAUGUACCAUAUGCAUAAGGAUCGGCUAACGCCGUGCCAGCAGCCGCGGUAAUACGGAUGAUCCAAGCGUUAUCCGGAUUUAUUGGGUUUAAAGGGAGCGUAGGUGGAUUGGUAAGUCAGUUGUGAAAGUGUGCGGCGCAACCGUAAAAUUUGAGUUGAAACUGGCAGUCUUGAGUACAGUAGAGGUGGGCGGAAGUCGUGGUGUAGCGGUGAAAUGCUUAGAUAUCACGAAGAACUCCGAGUGCGAAGGCAGUUCACUGGACUGCAACUGACACUGAGGCGCGAAAGUGUGGGUAUCAAACAGGAUUAGAGACCCGUGUAGUC